rnacentral:piRNA from 1 species
UAAAGAGGUUUGGGGCAGCGUAGGGCCAGU